UACGUAGGCGGAAAAUUAAGUCAGUAGUGAAAUCCUGCGGCUCAACUGUAGAACUGUUAUUGAUACUGGUUUUCUUGAAUAUAGUUGAGGUAGGCGGAAUGUGUAAUGUAGCGGUGAAAUGCUUAGAUAUUACACAGAACACCGAUUGCGAAGGCAGCUUACUAAGCUAUGAUUGACGCUGAGGUACGAAAGCGUGGGGAGCGAACAGGAUUAGAUACCCUGGUAGUCC
rnacentral:rRNA from 1 species